AGGUUAAUGGUUUAUAUAAGU
rnacentral:snRNA from 1 species